UACGGAGGGUGCGAGCGUUGUCCGGAAUCACUGGGCGUAAAGGGCGCGUAGGCGGCGCGGUAAGCGUGCGGUGAAAGCCCGGUGCUCAACCCCGGGUCGGCCGUGCGGACUGCCGGGCUCGAGCACUGUAGAGGCGGGUGGAAUUCCGGGUGUAGCGGUGGAAUGCGUAGAGAUCCGGAAGAACACCGGUGGCGAAGGCGGCCCGCUGGGCAGUGGCUGACGCUGAGGCGCGACAGCGUGGGGAGCAAACAGG
rnacentral:rRNA from 1 species